GCUGUGAGAUGUUGGUCAACUGGCCCUUAUGCAGGUCAGAGAAACAUUAUGAGAUUGAUGCAGAUGGAUUAUACUACAACAUGACCGCUUUUCCAUACUAUACUGGAAGACCAAGGAUACUAUGGGAUGAAAUAUAAGAUCACAUUUGUAAAAAAGGUAAUUCAGAUGGAAUUUAUACCCAUUUGCUCAUUGAAGACAUACCUGACCCUGCUGAGAGACGGCCAGCUAAAAGCAGAACAGGAGAUGACAGGUGGGCAGCUGCCACCCAAUGGAGACUGAGUGUACUAGCUGAGGAAGAGACUGGAGGUCCUUACAGAGGAACUGAGAGAGAGACACAACUACACCUGCACUGUCUCCCACCUCAGUCUGGACAACAAGCUGGAUGUCAGCUGGGAGCCUGAUCCAGACAGAGACAGUCAGCCUACUCUCCCUUUCAGCUCCAGUGGUGAUUAGGCUGUUCUGUGUUUACAUUUGCGUCAGGAGGAGAAGUGCUGCUGGCUCAGGGACAUCACCACAGUAAAUGAACUAAUGUGUGUGUGUGUGUGGUGUGUUAAGACAGGGUGGGUAUGUGCUUGUGUACGUGCGUGUGUUUAGACAGGACACUCCAGGGACCCAGCCAGACCUGUGAGGGGCCUGGGUUAGGACCUGGUGACCGGAGGGGAGGCGGAGGCCAGAAACAGAGACAUUGGCUGUGUCCGAAUACCAAUACUUGCAUCCUAAAUAGUAGGCUGUUUGAGAAUCCGAAUAUUAAAUGUUUAAUCGUAUGUGAAUUUUCUAAAAAUGUUGUAUGCUGUAAAUGCCAGGAUGGUAUACUCAUUUCGGUUUUUCAUUUAGUAGAAUUUGCGCACACUUUACAGGAAUUUCACGGCCACAAUGCAUUGGAAGAGGGGAGCUAUGAGUUUUCAUAGCUAGAUCUCUUUAAGUAAACAACAAAACAACUUGGAAGAUGGCAAAUAGCUGAACUUCUGCAGGGGUGUUCAAAUGAUCUACGUGAAGGAUUCUGAGCUGGAGAGGCAGCUGUCACCAGAAUUGGUGAAAAAUGAGUGGGAGAACCUUAGGUUUAAGCAAAAAUACACUGCAGCUGUGGGCUCCUCUCCCUCCCAGAAGGGUCCAGAUGUAUAGGCAGGAGUAGGAGGUGACUGCCAGGAGGCACACUUUAUGGCCCUUUUAAAGGACAUGAUUAAGUAGUUUUAGGUAUUUUGUAUGUAUUUUAUUCAUAGCUAUUAAUUUAUAAAUGUUCUUGUCCUUUUUAAAACCCAUUGUGGAUUUAUGUUUUCUCAUUGAAAAGUGUUUCUUGUUUGUAAUAAACAUCUACUGAUGGUGGGUUUUGCUUUCAACAUUCAAAAAUGCACUCUCACAUCUGAGCUAUCUUGUUGCAGGUGCAUGGUAACAAUUGGAUAAGUUAAAGAUAAAGAAAGUAGCCAGAGCAGUGUGCCACUUUCUUUUAUCAAUCACCCGUCCUCUUGGCCUUCUGUCAUGUCUACUCCCGCUCCCCCUCGCCAGUGCUAGACAUCUCCGGUCUACUUACCACCGGUCCUGGAAACACACCUUUACACACACCUGUAUUUCCUCAUCAGUCACACUUGAACUUCAUUACUCCCUUGAUCGCAUACCCUUUGUAUAGCACACUUUUGUUAUAAGUCAUCAGGUAGUAUUGUUUGUGUUUUCCAUGUCAGAUGCUGC
ensembl:lncRNA